AUAUCUGGCAAAACCAUCUUUCAAAGAUAAAGGAUAGUCUGAUCUCGGAAGCUAAGCAGGGUCGGGCCUGGUAAGUACUUGGAUGGGAGACCACCUAGGAAGACCAGGUGCUUUAGGCG
rnacentral:rRNA from 1 species